GACGUAGGGCGCGAGCGUUGUCCGGAUUUAUUGGGCGUAAAGAGCUUGUAGGCGGUUUGUCGCGUCUGCUGUGAAAUUUCGGGGCUCAACCCCCGAACUUGCAGUGGGUACGGGCAGACUAGAGUGUGGUAGGGGGAGACUGGAAUUCCUGGUGUAGCGGUGAAAUGCGCAGAUAUCAGGAGGAACACCGAUGGCGAAGGCAGGUCUCUGGGCCACUACUGACGCUGGAGAAGCGGAAAGCAUGGGGGACGC
rnacentral:rRNA from 1 species